rnacentral:rRNA from 1 species
ACAGGGAUUGCCCUAGUAACGGCGAGUGAAGCGGCAACAGCUCAAAUUUGAAAUCUGGCUCUUUUAGAGUCCGAGUUGUAAUUUGCAGAGGGCGCUUUGGCUUUGGCAGCGGUCCAAGUUCCUUGGAACAGGACGUCACAGAGGGUGAGAAUCCCGUACGUGGUCGCUAGCUAUUGCCGUGUAAAGCCCCUUCGACGAGUCGAGUUGUUUGGGAAUGCAGCUCUAAAUGGGAGGUAAAUUUCUUCUAAAGCUAAAUAUUGGCCAGAGACCGAUAGCGCACAAGUAGAGUGAUCGAAAGAUGAAAAGCACUUUGGAAAGAGAGUCAAACAGCACGUGAAAUUGUUGAAAGGGAAGCGCUUGCAGCCAGACUUGCUUGCAGUUGCUCAUCCGGGCUUUUGCCCGGUGCACUCUUCUGCAGGCAGGCCAGCAUCAGUUUGGGCGGUGGGAUAAAGGUCUCUGACACGUUCCUUCCUUCGGGUUGGCCAUAUAGGGGAGACGUCAUACCACCAGCCUGGACUGAGGUCCGCGCAUCUGCUAGGAUGCUGGCGUAAUGGCUGUAAGCGGCCCGUCUUGAAACACGGACCAAGGAGUCUAACAUCUAUGCGAGUGUUUGGGUGUCAAGCCCGAGCGCGUAAUGAAAGUGAACGGAGGUGGGAACCCGCAAGGGUGCACCAUCGACCGAUCCUGAAGUUUACGGAAGGAUUUGAGUAAGAGCAUGGCUGUUGGGACCCGAAAGAUGGUGAACUAUGCUUGAAUAGGGUGAAGCCAGAGGAAACUCUGGUGGAGGCUCGCAGCGGUUCUGACGUGCAAAUCGAUCGUCAAAUUUGGGCAUAGGGGCGAAAGACUAAUC